rnacentral:tRNA from 1 species
GCGGAUGUAGCUCAGUUGGUUAGAGCGUCUGUUUGUGGCACAGAAGGCCGUGGGUUCAAAUCCCAUCAUUCGCCCCA